GCGUGCUUACCAUGCAAGUCGAACGGAAAGGCCCAGCUUGCUGGGUACUCGAGUGGCGAACGGGUGAGUAACACGUGGGUGAUCUGCCCUGCACUCUGGGAUAAGCCUGGGAAACUGGGUCUAAUACCGGAUAUGACCAACUGUCGCAUGGUGGUUGGUGGAAAGCUUUUGCGGUGUGGGAUGGGCCCGCGGCCUAUCAGCUUGUUGGUGGGGUAAUGGCCUACCAAGGCGACGACGGGUAGCCGACCUGAGAGGGUGAUCGGCCACACUGGGACUGAGACACGGCCCAGACUCCUACGGGAGGCAGCAGUGGGGAAUAUUGCACAAUGGGCGCAAGCCUGAUGCAGCGACGCCGCGUGAGGGAUGACGGCCUUCGGGUUGUAAACCUCUUUCACCAGGGACGAAGCGUGAGUGACGGUACCUGGAGAAGAAGCACCGGCCAACUACGUGCCAGCAGCCGCGGUAAUACGUAGGGUGCGAGCGUUGUCCGGAAUUACUGGGCGUAAAGAGCUCGUAGG
rnacentral:rRNA from 2 species